GAUGUUCGGGGCCGCACGCGCGCUACACUGACCGGAUCAGCGUGUGCUCUCCUUGGCCGACAGGUCCGGGAAACCCGUUGAACCCCGGUCGUGCUAGGGAUAGGGAAUUGCAAUUAUUUCCCUUGAACGAGGAAUUCCCAGUAAGCGCGAGUCAUUAGCUCGCGUUGAUUACGUCCCUGCCCUUUGUACACACCGCCCGUCGCUACUACCGAUUGAAUGGUUUAGUGAGGUCCUCCGAUUGGACCCGGUCCGGGCGGCGACGUCCGAGCCGGCGUCCGAGAAGACGAUCUAACUUGAUCAUUUAGAGGAAGUAAAAGUCGUAACAAGGUUUCCGUAGGUGAACCUGCGGAAGGAUCAUUA
rnacentral:ncRNA from 1 species